CCCGGAGACCAGGAGACCCUCUGACCUAAUCUGUUCACCUCCUCCCACACUGAAGAAGUGUUAUAGGCCACCACCGUCAGCUCCCGGUCACACUCUAUGCAUGGAAGAGAACACAACUUGCUCAAGCAAAUAAUAUCCCAGCUUACAUCCCGGUAUCCUUGGCCAUGCCAGCCCCAGAUUUCUCCGGUGACGUCUUUGCAGCCUGCAGGACAGAAUGCACUGGAACACAAGUGCAUGGAAUGGAGUGGGAAGUGUGCAGGACAUACAAACUGUUACCUGAGUGCUGAUUGGUUGAAUAGGACAUAACGAAGCCCCGUCCUGAACGGUGAGUGCCAGAGAUGAAAUGCACCGAGACUUCAUUAGUACUCACAGUUAUAUUCCUGUUUGUGGUGGACAGCUGCCCACACAGAGGACCUGGGAAGCACAGACCACAUUAUAUAAACAUUGCAUUUUUAGAUUCAACACACAAGAUUCUGCACACCUUCACUGCCAUCAAAGGCUGUUCCUGCACACGUAUGUGACCACACAACCGUCAUGGUACAGCAGAGUGGAAUGCAGCAUGCAAGCUGCAGUCAUGCUGUGGUCACAUGAUUGGGAAGCUAAAGAGCAGCAUAUGGUUAGAUCUCUGGAAUUCCUCAGUCACAAUAUACUGUAAAUGAGGUGGCUAUAAAAUUAGAGUUGAAGGUAGCUGUAAAUAACUGUAAUGUAAGUUUGUAUAAUAAAUGUACUAAUUUGGUGCCUUUUGGGGAUAAGAAGGAAUGUCAGGCCUGAUUCAAGAAAGGAUUUCAUACCACUCAGAUUCAAAAACUGACAAGUCAGUCUGUCCAACUUCAAUAAAUUGAGGAAAAUAAAUUACAA